AGUGAACGCUGGCGGUAGGCCUAACACAUGCAAGUCGAACGGCAGCACAGUAAGAGCUUGCUCUUACGGGUGGCGAGUGGCGGACGGGUGAGGAAUACAUCGGAAUCUACUUUUUCGUGGGGGAUAACGUAGGGAAACUUACGCUAAUACCGCAUACGACCUACGGGUGAAAGCAGGGGAUCUUCGGACCUUGCGCGAUUGAAUGAGCCGAUGUCGGAUUAGCUAGUUGGCGGGGUAAAGGCCCACCAAGGCGACGAUCCGUAGCUGGUCUGAGAGGAUGAACAGCCAGAGCGGGACGGAAAGCACGGAAGGACGGCGAGAGGAGGGAGCAGGGGGGGGAGGUGCGGGAUGGAGGGGAGGCGGAAGGGGAUGUGUCGCGGGAGUGAUGACGGCCCUCGGGUUGGAAAGCUAUGUUAAUAGGAACGAAAGGACAGCUUGCGAAUAGUGAGAAGGAUUGAGGGUAGGGGAAGAGAAAGACACGGCUGGCUACGUG
rnacentral:rRNA from 1 species